rnacentral:misc_RNA from 1 species
CAAACACAUCGACGUAAAUAUCUCUCUCUAGUUUUCCUAUAGAGAGAAAAUAUUCUCUCUUUUGAUUUUGAUCUAUUGUUCUCUUGGGUCUUUGUUGAGCGUCUCCAGUGGCCCUCCCCUGCCCUCUGGGCAGAAGAGGGAUGGUUUCUCUGACUGGGUGAUGGGUCCCCCUCCCCUUCCUGGUUUGGUUUUUUCAUAGUUUUGUGAGGUUAUUUUGUUUUUUAGAUCUUGAACUUAUUCAGGUGAGGGUAGAACAGAGACGAUUUGAUUUAUGGUGUUGUCUAGAUAUCUAUCUUGGGGCUUGGAAAGUUCUCUACUUGGUGGUGCCUUUCAGCUAAGGAGGAAGAAUCAAGGAUGGCUUCUAGGGGAUUGAAGACUUAGCGUUAAAAAUUGGUUGGCCGAUUCUCCAUGACUAAAUCGAGACUGAAAUGUCAUGGCCCCUGCUUCCUCUUUCUCCUAAGUUGGUGGUCCUGUGAUACCUAUCGGAGGUGGUGGGGGCUUGAGUUGUGAUCCUUUUGUUGUGGCUUAUCUUGCUUUGGCGAGUUGAGGCAUUGGCAGAAGAUCUUUCUAGCUUUCGAUGGGUUCUCCAGUCAAGCUUUCGACGACAGCGCAAUUUUUUUUGGUGUUGAUCCUGAGUUCUGCUUAGGUGGUUUGGGUCUAGGGUUUGGCUGGAUGGGACUUUGGGCCUGUUAUUGGGUUUGGUUGCUUGGGUUAGAAAAUUUGCUUUGUUUUCCUGGCCUCAAUGUAAUCUUAUGGUGGACUUUAAUGCAAUGCUAACAUGCAAUUGUAAAAAAAAAACACCUGAACGGCAAGAGGGAGAUUAAAGUACACCUGUGCUAGAAAGAGGACAACGGCAGCAAGAGGGAGAUUGAAGCACACUUGUGCCAAAAAGAGGAGAACGACGGGUUGGGGCAACUUUGGUCUACGACGUGGCAAAGUACUAGAACAAAGAUAGAAAUUCAGGAUUAAGGCUAGGAGAGAAUGAAAGGCUGCAGGUAGGGGCUGUGGGGGUCAAAAUUUAUUUUGGGGAUUACUAAAAUUUUAGAGGUUCCUAAUUUAAAAUUCGAUAAAUUAUUGACGGCCAAAAUUUCUUCUUGUAAUAGAUUUUUUUAUAGUAUUAUAAAACCAAAAAAUUCAAAUUUCUUCUUUGUUUUUACUUUUUUUCUGUGUCCUAAGUGUAACGUCCAUUUUUUAUAGAGAACGAAAUUUUAAAAUGUUAGUUUAC